CACGAAGUUAGCCGGUGCUUAUUCUUUGGGUACCGUCAUCCGCACGAAGUAUUAAUCCGUACGCUUUCUUCCCCAACAAAAGUGCUUUACAACCCGAAGGCCUUCUUCACACACGCGGCAUGGCUGGAUCAGGCUUGCGCCCAUUGUCCAAUAUUCCCCACUGCUGCCUCCCGUAGGAGUCUGGACCGUGUCUCAGUUCCAGUGUGGCUGAUCAUCCUCUCAGACCAGCUACGGAUCGUCGCCUUGGUGGGCCUUUACCCCACCAACUAGCUAAUCCGGCAUCGGCUCAUCUCAUCGCGUGAGGCCUUGCGGUCCCCCACUUUCACCUCUCGGUCAUAUGCGGUAUUAGCGUAAGUUUCCCUACGUUAUCCCCCACAACGAGGCAGAUUCCGAUGCAUUCCUCACCCGUCCGCCGCUCGCCGCCAGGGUUGCCCCCGCGCUGCCGCUCGACUUGCAUGUGUUAGGCCUGCCGCCAGCGUUCACUCUGAGCCAGGAU
rnacentral:rRNA from 1 species